rnacentral:rRNA from 1 species
CCCUUAGAUGUUCUGGGCCGCACGCGCGCUACACUGAUGCAUUCAACGAGCCUAUCCUUGACCGACAGGUCCGGGUAAUCUUUGAACGCUGGUCGUGAUGGGGAUAGACUUUUGCAAUUUUUGGUCUUCAACGAGGAAUUCCUAGUAAACGCAAGUCAUCAACUUGCAUUGAUUACGUCCCUGCCCUUUGUACACACCGCCCGUCGCACCUACCGAUUGAAUGGUCCGGUGAAGCCUCCGGAUUGGCGCGCACCUCGGUGCCGCCGAGAAGUUGGCUAAACCUUACCAUUUAGAGGAAGGUGAAGUCGUAACA